GAUCAACGCUGGCGGCGUGCCUAACGCAUGCAAGUCGGACGGGCCGGGGGCGACCCUGGUGCCGUGGCGGACGGGUGCGUAACACGUGGGGAACCUGCCCUCAGGUGGGGGAUAACCUGCGGAAACGCGGGGUAAGACCGCAUGAGCUGGUCUGGUGGUGGGCCAGAUCAGGAAAGCCGGGAGGCGCCUGAGGAGGGUCCUGCGGCCGAUUAGCUAGUUGGUGGGGUCAUGGCCUACCAAGGCGAUGAUCGGUAGCUGGUCUGAGAGGACGGCCAGCCACAGGGGGACUGAGACACGGCCCCCACUCCUACGGGAGGCAGCAGCGAGGGAUUUUCCGCAAUGGGCGCAAGCCUGACGGAGCGACGCCGCGUGGGGGAGGACGCCCUUCGGGGGUGUAAA
rnacentral:rRNA from 1 species